AGGACUUCAGUGCUUUCGUUUUCUUUUUUUUUUACUUUGAAAUAUAGGACCUCUUGGAUCAUUGCAUCCAGCCUACUGCUAUCACAGGUACAACAGCAUUCGGUCUCUUCCCUAAACCUGCCAAGUUCUGUCUGAAAACCGGUUACAAUUACUCCCACUGGAAUGCUGUUAGAAAACCUGCAUAUCUCACAGUUGUAUUAUUAGAGUUUGCCUGUGCAGGUGCGGCCAGGAUAGCAGAGGGCCGUACUGAAGAUGCAGCAUGUGACAGAAGGAAGUUUUUCUGCUGGGCUUAUUUCCCCACUUUCCCGAAAGCCAUAAAGUCACGAGGCACCCCUUGUGAGACAUGACUACAAAUAUUUGCACUUGUUGUGCCAACAUAUAUUGCAUUGAUCGCUAGGGACAGCUAAGCUUCUGCCAGAAUUCGAGGAGACCGCAUCUUUGGAAGCACCCACAAGAAUGAACCUGGACGCAGAACCACAGCGCAUGCUGAAUACCGUCUCCACGCUGACCCCUGGUUAUUAGAUUGUAUUUUAGCUAAACUAGUUACUAUGCCUGGCUAAUGAGGAAAAAUGACAUUUAACUUCGAAGCUGGCUAUUUAAUAAAAAGAACAUAACAAUAAUUUGUAUCCUUCUCUGUCCGUGAGGCUGUCAUGAACCAUUGACAGCUUUAUUUUUCGUGGGUACAUUGGCAUUGGUGCGUAUAAUAUAAACUGUACCCUCUCUGGUGUGCCAAGGUGCAGUAGCAGCCAUGUAUAAGGGAUGGAAGAGCCACUGUAGAAAUAUUCACCAUUUACAGGUGUGGGAGAGACGAACUAAUGGGCAUAAAGGUGCAAGAUGUUAAAAGCCAAGGUUUUGCCUUUCCUGACUUCUCAUGUAUUGUGCACGGCAAGAUGUAGAGAUAAAGUGUUUGGGCAACAGUUAGUUCACAUGGGAAGAAGGACUACUUAAUUCCACCAUCUUUAUUGUGCCCAAAGUUUCUCUUUUUCACACUAAAACCUGGUCUUAUAAAGUCUUGGAUUUCCUCUAGAAUUAGUGGAACUAUUCUUCACCAUCACUAGUGUUCUAUCAGUUGUUAUCAUUAGUGAUACUGCAAUUAUCAUAGUGUACAAAGAAUGAAUAAGAUUUGGAGUUUAAGAAAAUUACCAUUUUGGAAAUCUAAUUUUUUCAAACAGACAUUAAACUAGUUAAAAAGGCAUACAGCUUCUUUAAUGGAUGCAAUGGUAUUGCAGCAAUGGGCAAGAGAAUCACAUCAUCAAGCAGAUAGCACAUGGAAGUAUGAGAUCAUCUUGUUUGCCACUUCUGAUAGAAGUCCAUCGUAUGUCAUACACUUUCAGAAAUCUGUAUUUUAGAGAGCUGAUCUUCCAAGGAGAAACGUGGCAAGUCAACAACAGUUAACUUCAAUAGGGUGCCAAGAUGGUAAAGAUGCGCUGGAAGAGCUCAACUCUCCUGGUGUUCCAGCACUCCCUUCCUGAUGUUAGUGAUAGUCAUAGAAGUGCUUGAACUCAUAGGACACAGAGAAGAGAUCUGGACCACGUCAGUAAGACAACUAUCAUUUUUUAGAAAUGAAGAAAAGCUGUUUCCAAAGGGAACGCUAUUGCUACUUAAUCUUGUUUGUUCAUUCUCUGAGAAGUUCUUUGAGAUGUGAUACAGGAUUGUCCCAUAUGGGGAAAAUACGGGUGAACUAGGAUGAAUGUAAGUUACGCGGCUUUUCCUUUCUCGCUGCACUUCAGAGUGGCUUCAGUGGGAAGGAAGCACGCUUAGCCUUUCAACUGGAUAGGACGUUAACAGGGGGCUUUCCUAGCUGGUGAAGUAAUACACCCUUCAAAUGCACAUGUUGAUGAGCUUUAGUGGCUUUUUUGAACCAGUAAUCUACACUACUUCGUUCAUUGUAAAUGGUAUAAUGUUUUGCAUUUAGAGAGUGCAUUUCAGCCAGAGCUUUACAAAUACUCAUUAAACCCCCAAACACUGCUCUGGAAUAGAUGAAUAAAUUAUAUGGGGAAAGUAAUCAUUAGAAACCGUGUUGUUUUGUCGAAUGGUGUACAGUUUUCAUGUAACCAAGGACUUAAGCGCAGCAAGUCCUUGACACCUAUUUUCACUUUCCUAUAUGAAUAUUCAUUUGGCUUAAGUUAACAUUUCAUCCCCACAUUUUAUCAGAAUUAAAAUUCAUCCUCUUCUAAUGGAAACUGUGCUGUUUCACCUUUACAGACAAUGGUUGGCAUCAAAUGAAAUUGUUCUUUGUUCCAAAACUAUGGUUAGAAUUCAGUGGUUAAUGAGAUGCUGAUAGCAAACACUCACGGUUUCCUUUACAUCCAUGUGACAAUACAAAAGACAAUUGGUAUGUGGUUAGCAUAAGAUUCACACUCACCAUUCCAGGCACAUUGAGCUUUGUCAGUAUACCAAGAUACUGCUUGUCAUUUUAUGUCCCCUUACUCUGAGUUGUGUUUCUUUCCCCUGGUGAAAAAAACUUGUGCACUGAAUUCUAUUAUAGAUAUAUCUCAAAUACAUAUCUUACCUAUAUCUCCGUUUCGUUCUUAAAAUCCCUCUAGAAUGUUAAAACCAAAAGAAAGGAUGCUGCCAAGGACAUAUGGUGGGUUAUCGAAUGGUUUCUUCUAAAAAUCUAGCCUGAAUCUGAUUCAUUUAGUUAAUCUCCAGAUGAUUCUCAUUACAUCAGUACCAGCUUAAAUGAAACAAGUUUAGUUGGGGUGCUCAUAUUAAGAAAAAAAUAGCUAUGAUGGUAUAAUUUUUGCUAAUUUUCUCAGUGAAGCUUAAUAUUUGAAUGGUUGGAGUUGCAGGUGCACUUGAUCCUGCCAACAGGUCUUAUUACUUUGGAACUUAGGUGUUCACGGAGCCGACGGUAAAAGCCUGCGGUAUCCUAACUCAUUGUGCAACUGCUUUAUGAACUGUAAGUACAAUCCCUGCUUAUCUUCAUCUUGACUCACGAGCAACAAAAUAAUCUGAGAGAAGUAAAUAUUCCCCACGCAGCUACAACCGAAAAUUGCAAAGCUGAUUUCCCAUGUACCAAACUAAUUGUUUUCCAGUUUAUAUGACAAUAACAUCAUCAAUACCAUCAGCUUCUUUUUCAGCGCUCCAGAAGCGUAAUGUAUAAUGUAAUGCUGAUAAAAAGUGGAAUUUUUAACGUGAUUUUAUCUGAUUUGCUUUAGCAGCAACAGUUUAGCAGGGUUAAUUGGAAUAACCUACAGUUGAGGCAUUUCUUGGGACAUCCGCCAGAAAGUGGAGAGAAUGGCCCGAAGUGAAAAUGCCAGCUUGUUACCAAUCUCUGGAACUGCCUCAGGCUACCACUGCAGCAAAGCUGCACCCUCUGCUCGGGAAUUAGCACAUUCCCUACAGAUUUGCAUAUAAUGGAAGUAGUUGUGAUAGUUUCUCAAAAAAGUCUUUGUUUUCACCAUGCCUUUGCCAAACCUGAGCCAGAAACGUGUCAUCUAAGGAGUCAUUUCGGUAUUUAAAAAAUGAGUACUGCUUUUACACUGUUGCCAUGGGACAGCUAUGGCAGGAAAUGAGCAAAACACCCACAUAAUUAUUGUUGACAGAAUACAGUUCCAAUUUUAUCAAGUGUAACCCCUAUGUGAUAUGUUGUUAAGGAAGCCAUCAACAUCUCAGUGAAUGAAAUACUAAUUUGAGAAGUAUGCAGUGCCCAAAAGAAACACACAAUUGUUAUGCUUGAAAAACUGAACAUGUGAAAGACAUCUCCUUGACUGAGCUGAUACGGGAGUAAUUAUCGCUCAGUCUCUGAAGAACAAUUAGAGUUGGUUUUUAUUAAAUUUUCACAUUAUGAUUGACAUUGAAACUGAAUGAAUCAAUAUGUAAAUUCAGAUUACAGUGAUCUAAUAAGAUAUUGAGAAAGAUGAUACUUUACAAAACAGUCUGUGGAAAAACCAUAUAGUGCUGAGAAAAAACCAUAAAUUUAUCAUUUUGCAAACUGCCUUGCUUUUGUUCUUUUUUGUAUUUCAUCUGUUUAGCUACUAUUUAAAUUAGAUUUCAGAGGACUCUAUAAUUAAGAAGUGGGAUAUAAUUCAUCAUUUGCGGAGAUCACAUCCAUUAGGCAUCUAAAUAAUAAAAGUUAUUUAUAACAGUGUUUUAUAACAACCUUAGAGAGUUUUAACCAUUAAUCAGUAACAAUGGAGAGAUGUCAAUGUAUAAAACUGAAUCAGGUAAAACAAUAUUCCAGUCUGAUAAAUAUCAGGAUAUAAUUUGCUGAAAUAUAUAAUCCUCUCUCCUUAAUUGCAUGGUUAUUUACCUCACUGAUUAAAAGGAAAUCUAUUUCAGGUGGGGUUUAUUGUGAGUAGUAACAAAUUUCUAUAUAUUUAAAAGAUCUAUGGAAUAGUCCUACUCCCUCAAGAAAGGAAGUGUCAAAUAAGAAAGAAUAAUUUUUGAAAGAAACUGACUGACCGCUGUUGCAAACUAUUGAAGCCAGGAGUGGAGGGGAUACAGAUGUGUAGCUGGAGACCAGAAAACCACAGAAGGACCCGAGUCCAGCAUAGGAAGAGGCAAAACCAGAUGUGGAGGAUCGGCAAGGCGGCACACUUGCUAGGGUUGUAACAGAAAGCAGGAAGAAACAGGAUAUUGAAAAACCUGCAAUGAGGAGAGUUCAGCAUGUUUUGGGAUGAGAAGUUUGGAUUUGUUAUGCAGCAUGAGUGUUGCCUUCUCAAUGUCAUUUUCCCAUCUGUCUUGCUCAGCAAUGUUGCAGCCUCAGCUGAUCCAUGUGUGCAGUCAUCAGUCAGAUCAUACUGCACAGUGAUACAGUGAGCCUGAAAAUUAUUCUUGUACAAUGUCUGUCACGCGCCGUAUCUUCCUCAGAGGAACUGUGGAUACAAUUUGAAUUUGUUUAUAUUCUUUCCACUGACCAGAAAAAUGAAGAAUUCCUUUUUCCUUAUUUGGAAUUCCCUCAACAAUAGAUUUACCAUUAUUUAAUCCAUCUUACUUUAUAAGCUAUAUUUAUCUUCUGAUACUCAUAGAAUUCUAUUGCCUGACACUAGUUCCAUGGAAAUUUAAGGAAAUGAUCUAUUGCAAGGGAAACAGGCUCUAAAAAUCUUCCUUUGUCUAAAGGUUGCCAUCACGUCCCCCACAGUAUAAACUGCCCUGUGCACAAAAUCCAAAAGACGUUUCAUUUAAUGUCAAUGCUUAUAAAAAGAUAAAACACAAUCUACUGGUGACAAUACCUUUCCUGUUCUAGUCAAGAUUUAUUUGGCAUUGUAAGCAAUAUGCAUUAAUCCUGUCCUGGAAAGUACUGAGGCUGGAAAUAGGUGGUACCUUGCGGAUGGUUUGCCUAAUUUUUGUACAUGUCUUGCGACUCUUGCCACCCUUCCUUGUGUCUAGCUCUCCUGACUUCUGUGGAUUGUGUGGUUCAACUGAAAACAUUCCAGACCUGGAAUGAGCAUGUGCUCUAUAUUUAGUCAUGUCAUCAGUAGUACCAUUGUGCAAGUUGCUUAUCUUUCUUAACUACAUCAGGGAUUGUCCUUCCUCUUCUGGUAAAUAACAGAGAUCUUUAAAUUGAAAUGGUUGCCACGUACUUUUUCUGUGAGCUAGAUAGCCACUCGAUAACGGUGCUCUUUAGUAGAUAUCAGAUGAUGACAAUUUUUGAUAUCCACCUAUUUCUAAAAAUCUUAUCGUUUUGAAGCAGCUUCUGUUUUCACAGAAAUCUAGGCUAAAAGGGAUCUUGUGAGAUCAUCUGUUCAUAGCUCCUGAUCUGAGACAAAAUAAGUAUACUUAGAAUCCCCCUGCCACAAGUUUUGUCUGGACCAGCCUUUAGAAAUUGGUGAUGAAGGGAAUACCAUGACAUUCCUACUUAGUCUGCUUUACUGCUAAUUAAAUUUGGGAAAAUUUCUAUGUAGUAUCUAUCUUCAAAUCUAUCUUGGCAUAAAUCAAGCUGAUUUCUACUCACCUUGAAAUGGAUGAACACGGAAUAAAAUGAAUUAGCAUGUAUUAAAAACUAUCAACUAUAUUUUCAUUUUGAAACAAUACAAUAACGAUCUUUUUGCUAUGCUGUUUGCUUUCCCUACACAGUAAGGUAAUAUUUGGUCUUUCCUUGACUUGAAUAUUUUUAAUUUGUCCUUUUCUUGUUGUAAACAAUUUUUGGACCUCAG